GUGAUUGGGCUUCAGAUGGCGCCGGCAGGAACCGAGGACCCCAAAGAGAAGCCGGAAGUUUGCCAUCUUACUGGUGAUGGCCCUUCAAUAGUAAGUUUAGGGAUCAGGAAAUAUUGAUUCAUUAAAAAUAUUGUCCUUGAUUCAUCACUUUGUUUAUCCCAACAUUUGUCCACUAGUUGAUUAAAGUCCAACAACACUUUGUACUCAUUUGCCCAAAGGAAGAACAGAAGAAUUGCAGGAUGAGAGGACCUGAGAAUCUGAGACCUCAUCGAGACUCUUAGAGUCACUGUUACUCUGUGACCCUGGGUUAAUUUGUGGAAAGCUUUCCAAAACAUCAGUAUAUGAAGAUGUGAUUUGUGGUAUCCUUCACCACUUUUGAAUUCCUGAGAAAAAAGGAGAAAAAUGGCUUUUACGGGGAAUACAUAGAAGUUUUUUGGAAGAACUGGGAGCACUAUAGUCAUAACCUACCUCUUCAAAUUGUUCCCAGGUACUGAGAUGCCAUCUGGAAUUAAAGCAACAUCAUUUUGGUCGCAGUGUAGGAGCAACCAAAAUGUAUUCAGAUACCAAACAUGAAAGAAAAUCUGAAUAAUCAACCAUAAUACCAUUAUUGCCAGUACAUUCUUCCCUAAAAAAAUUUGAAUAACUGUGAACUAAGUAACUACUUAUGUAAUUCAGCUUUUAAAUAAAUA